AUACUACCUGUCGAUCAGAGAUUACCGUGAUCACGAAGGCGGUUUUUCCAGGGUGAAAUUUUUCCAUUGCACUGUGGUUGAAUUGACAUCUGCGAAUAUCUCCAACGUGUCUCGGUGUCUAGAAUAAUUUUUGAUAGUCGGGAAAAUAGCGUUCACGCUAUCCUGU